rnacentral:rRNA from 1 species
CAUGCAAGUCGAGGGGCAGCAUGUUGGUUGCUUGCAACCAAUGAUGGCGACCGGCGCACGGGUGAGUAACGCGUAUCCAACCUACCCUUGUCCAUCGGAUAACCCGUCGAAAGGCGGCCUAACACGAUAUGCGGUUCUCAGCAGGCAUCUAACGAGAACGAAAUGUGAAGGAGAAGGAUGGGGAUGCGUCUGAUUAGCUUGUUGGCGGGGUAACGGCCCACCAAGGCGACGAUCAGUAGGGGUUCUGAGAGGAAGGUCCCCCACAUUGGAACUGAGACACGGUCCAAACUCCUACGGGAGGCAGCAGUGAGGAAUAUUGGUCAAUGGACGAGAGUCUGAACCAGCCAAGUAGCGUGCAGGAAGACGGCCCUAUGGGUUGUAAACUGCUUUUAUAGGGGGAUAAAGUGUGCCACGUGUGGCAUAUUGCAGGUACCCUAUGAAUAAGGACCGGCUAAUUCCGUGCCAGCAGCCGCGGUAAUACGGAAGGUCCAGGCGUUAUCCGGAUUUAUUGGGUUUAAAGGGAGCGUAGGCCGUUUGGUAAGCGUGUUGUGAAAUGUCGGGGCUCAACCUGGGCAUUGCAGCGCGAACUGCCAGACUUGAGUGCGCAGGAAGUAGGCGGAAUUCGUCGUGUAGCGGUGAAAUGCUUAGAUAUGACGAAGAACUCCGAUUGCGAAGGCAGCCUGCUGUAGCGCAACUGACGCUGAAGCUCGAAAGCGUGGGUAUCGAACAGGAUUAGAUACCCUGGUAGUCCACGCGGUAAACGAUGGAUGCUCGCUGUUUGCGUCUGACGUAAGCGGCCAAGCGAAAGCGUUAAGCAUCCCACCUGGGGAGUACGCCGGCAACGGUGAAACUCAAAGGAAUUGACGGGGGCCCGCACAAGCGGAGGAACAUGUGGUUUAAUUCGAUGAUACGCGAGGAACCUUAC